AUUCUACGUUUUCUUAUUGGAAAAAUAGUUUUUCUUUUUUGACCAAUCAUACGUUGAGUACUCUGUCGAAAGUUUCUUUGUUUCCUCCCACAUUUUUUCAAUUUUAUCGAAGGGAUCCGACCUAUCGCGUAGGUUAUCUUUCCUUUGGGUUUUAAGAGAUGAAUAAUUUUUUUCUAUCGUGCUAGACGUGCUACGGUAUGGUUUGCAGAUGGAAGAAACGGUUAUUUAUUUUUUGCUUAUGUUUAGAUACUUUAUUGCUCAUUUUUUGUGAGGAAACGUGAAACUUUGCUUUGAUCCCAUGUUUGUUUUUUGAAUUUCUAUCUUUAGAAUUUAUUAUUUGUUGACUCAAUAUUAAAAAGGAAUCGAAAUUAUCAACUUGGUCGUUUCGUCCAUGUUUGUCAUCACGUUUCUAACAGACUAAUCCUAGACGCAUAAAAAAUUAUCGGAGACCGUUGAAACGGAAUUUUUUUUGUAAAUUAUUUGUUUCUUUGACGAAGGGAAAUUGUGAAGUCUGCCGGACGUAACAAAUGAAUAUUUCUAGUUCAUGAUAGCAUUUCAUGCUUAUAUAUCAAAACAUAUAGCAUUUAAAAAUAAAAAUUUACUUGCAGUAAAGAUUCAUUUUUUUCUGUGUAUUUUUGUGUACUCGUGACUUUAAUCUGCAGCACUAAGUUUUAAAGAUUCUAUACGUACAAAAUAACUGUUAUGCACUGUUGUUAUUACAGGAAAGAAUAAUAAUGUGCUUUCAGAAAUGAGCUAGAAGCUUUGGUAUAAGAGAAUAAUUUAUCUGAAAAUUUCUAUGGUAUCAUUAAAUAAGAAAAGUGGAAGGAAAUCUUCGCGAAUUGAUUCAGUGCAAGUUUGACCGCACAAUUAAACAGACGAUCUAAAUGAGCGAAUAUAAUAAGCGAUCUAGUGAGCGAAUAUAGAAAAAUUUAACCCAAAGGCGUACUUUUUGCAAGAUGGUUCCACCGAUUGAAGUUGCCACCGAGAAAGGAGAGAUUGAUGGGGUACGCCCAAUCGACUAUCAAAGAAGAUAUUAUCAAUUAAUGAGAAGCAUCUGUCUUAAAUUAAAGGAGAGGUGCUUCAUAGAAACUGAGUACCCCUGGAGGCGUCUCUGUCUCCAAUGCUAUAGACCAGGGAGAUUCAGAAUGAGGUACCGAAGCAGGGAGUUGCAUGGAUUUAGGACAAAACUGGCAGAAAACGAAACUUGGAAAACAAUAACUGAAUGUUCCAAGUGCCCCAAACAGUUAAUAGAUAUAAAGCCAGCAAGGGAAUGUAGGAAGUGUAUUGAAGUGUUUUUGAAUAACGAGGAAGAAAUAAACAAUAUUGUACUUGUAGACAUAUUAAGUUUAGAAAUAUUUGAAAAUUAAAAUAACAAUAAUUUAGAUAGAAAUACUAACCAUACUAUUAUAAAAUAAAAUAAUAUUAUUAUCAUCAUCAUUUUAAUUAUUAUUACCUUUACGGAAAGAAACUACAGCCAAUAAAUAUUAGAGUUGUGUAGUUAUUACAGGACUCUCUGUAGUUAUCACAGAAAGGAUCACAGUAAUUUCUAGUUAUUAAGUGCUGUAUAUAUGUAUAGCAAGAAUAAGUAUAUAGAUUUUUCUCUGAUUUCUUUUUUUACUUUAAUAAAUUUCAUUACAUUUUAUAGUUCUUGUAUAUUUUAAUUACAAUACGUUUAUAAUUUUUUUAUUUUUGAUUUUGCUACAUACGCUGCAUAUCUUUUUAUUUGUGAAAAUUUAGAAGACUUGUAAAACAUUUUUUAUAUAAGUGCUACGAUUAAAUGUAUGAUAUACUUAAUUACAUAUACUUAUAGUGCGAAAAAUGAUUUGUUAUAAAUAUUAAUAUUGUUUUCUAUUAAUUGUGAAACAAAACUCUUUUAUAAAUCCAUCCUUGAUUUUAUGAAGAAUUUAAUAUCUAAUCCCGAA